UACGUAGGAUGCAAGCGUUGUCCGGAAUUAUUGGGCGUAAAGAGCGCGCAGGCGGUAUGACAAGUCAGAUGUGAAAGAGGCCGGCUUAACCGGCAAGGGUCAUUUGAAACUGUCAGACUAGAGUGCAGCAGAGGAUAGUGGAAUUCCCGGUGUAGUGGUGAAAUGCGUAGAUAGUCGGGAGGAACACCAGUGGCGAAGGCGACUAUCUGGGCUGCAACUGACGCUGAGGCGCGAAAGCGUGGGGAGCAAACAGG
rnacentral:rRNA from 1 species